CCAGACUCCUACGGGAGGCAGCAGUGGGGAAUAUUGCACAAUGGGGGAAACCCUGAUGCAGCAACGCCGCGUGAGUGAAGAAGUAUUUCGGUAUGUAAAGCUCUAUCAGCAGGGAAGAGAAUGACGGUACCUGACUAAGAAGCCCCGGCUAACUACGUGCCAGCAGCCGCGGUAAUACGUAGGGGGCGAGCGUUAUCCGGAUUUACUGGGUGUAAAGGGAGCGUAGACGGUUCUGCAAGUCUGAAGUGAAAGCCCGGGGCUUAACCGCGGAACGGCUUUGGAAACUGUGGAACUGGAGUGCUGGAGAGGCAAGCGGAAUUCCUAGUGUAGCGGUGAAAUGCGUAGAUAUUAGGAGGAACACCAGUGGCGAAGGCGGCUUGCUGGACAGUAACUGACGUUGAGGCUCGAAAGCGUGGGGAGCAAACAGGAUUAGAUACCCCAGUA
rnacentral:rRNA from 1 species